rnacentral:rRNA from 1 species
AUUGAACGCUGGCGGCAUGCCUUACACAUGCAAGUCGAACGGCAGCACGGGUGCUUGCACCUGGUGGCGAGUGGCGAACGGGUGAGUAAUACAUCGGAACGUACCUUAUCGUGGGGGAUAACGCAGCGAAAGUUGCGCUAAUACCGCAUACGCCCUGAGGGGGAAAGCGGGGGACCGUAAGGCCUCGCGCGAUUAGAGCGGCCGAUGUCUGAUUAGCUUGUUGUGUAGGUAAAAGCUCACCAAGGCGAUGGUCAGUAGCUGGUCUGAGAGGACAAUCAGCCACACUGGGACUGAGACACGGCCCAGACUCCUACGGGAGGCAGCAGUGGGGAAUUUUGGACAAGGGGGGCAACCCUGAUCCAGCAAUGCCGCGUGAGUGAAGAAGGCCUUCGGGUUGUAAAGCUCUUUUGUCAGGGAAGAAACAGCAGCUCUAACACAGUCUGCGAAUGACGGUACCUGAAGAAUAAGCACCGGCUAACUACGUGCCAGCCGCCGCAGUAA